AAAUGUCUCCCCAGAACGCAUUUACCAUUUUUGGGCUCCUUAUAGUGGCCAUGUUCGCGGCAGAAGGAGAGGCCUGCGAAGUGGCUAAAGAACUUGUGAAGCAAGCCUGCAAUCUAAUUGGGCGGGAGGAAGACGCUGGCCUUAAACAAGAGCAGUGAGGAAAACCU
rnacentral:lncRNA from 1 species